AGAAGAGAGGAGAAAUAAGUGUUUCAGGCAGCUUUUGAUAGGGUCCUGUGCGAAAUAGUUUAGGAAAGCAACUAAUAGGCUGUCACCCAUGCCAAGGACAGGGAAUUAAAUCAGCCUGCCUGUAUUUUAAGCAUGGCUGUAUUUUGAGGUAAAAGGAAGGCAAUGGCAGAGCUGGAGAAAGCCACAGAGCCUUGGACAAUGGCAGUGUAACAUGUUUUUAUUGUUUUUUACAGAGCGAACAGCACAGAAAGUAACUGCAAAGCAGCAUGCCGCUCUCAAUCAUGGCAGACGUGAUGAGUUGAAAUGGGUGUGAGCGACUUGCAGAUGGUCUACAAGUUGUAAACAACUUCAGCUUACCAGCUGUGGGAAGUUCAAAGAUUAUAUUAAACUAGCAAUAAUAACAUAAUAUUGAAUCAGCUCUGGUAGACAAUCUGAAGAGUGGGACACAAUGGCAAUUAAAAUUAACUUGCAGUUUGGAGUGUUUUACAGUGCCAGAGAUAAGCAGUGCAGCUAGAGCAUAGAGACGGGCGGCUAUUUAAAGAAAUGAUUCAAGUAGUGACGUGUCUCGAUGAUAAAGAUAAGCUGAGGAUCUGCUUCAGUCAUCUGAAUCCCUAGAGUAUCUGGGCUACACAAACAACUACAAGAGGCAGGCCACUAAAGGAAGCAGAGUGCAGGGAGAUUCUCCAUCAACAGACACGGAUUCAAUUGUAUAAAAAGCUUUGCAUCUGCUAAACUACCAGAAAGUUUACCAAGAUCCAAGUUCCUCUUCAAGCUUCAAUUUAGGCCAAUAAUUAAAAAAAGAAACCGCUGUGCUGGUUUACAGACUAGAACUUGGAGGGGAUUCAGGGUACAGUUUGUUCUUGGAACAGGCCGGAUUCUGACUCUGACAUUCGUAAAAUGUUGGGAAGCGGAGCCAAAUGAGCAAUGUCGAGGAACUGUGGUUUUAACCCCUGAAUGAAACUGCACUCUCUGUUUUUUGGACACAUGGAUGUGCACACGUGUGUGUGUUUGCAGGUCCUUCUAGUCUUCAGCAUCAGCUUUCUGUAACAGGCAGUGUUGUAACAUGCAAUCUGUGCAUAAAACACAGUACUCGAUUCAAAGACAUGUAUGUAUGCAAUAUUGAUAGCUGAUCCAUGAGACUGCCCUUCAGGGAUGAGACAAGGAAGCUGAGAGAAUGAAAAGCUGUGUCUUUUCCUGGUUUUGCAUCUCUGACCUGGGUUACCCUAUGACCUCCUGUACACUAAAACUGUUUGACAUCGUUCAGGCUUUUCAACCCACCCCAAUGAAUUCUGGUAUGUUUGACCUGUCUCAGGUACCUUUCACAGCAGGACUACAUUUCCCAGAACUCAUUGGGGUGUGAGUUGAAAAGCCUGAACUGUCCUACUUUUGGUUCCAUUGCCAAGGGUUGCACCACAAUUCUUAUCUUAGUUCUGCCAUGAAAAAGGGACACUCUGUCUUUAUGCCUGUUCUAAAUAUUUGUGUGCACAUUUGCUCCUAUUUUCCAAAGAAGUUUGCUUCGGAAACAGCUUAGCUGUGAUGUGGAGCAGGCUGGGGUUAUACAGUAUUACUGUAUAACAGGGGAAGUUCUAAUGGAACAGAUGUGCUGUACACACCCAACAUGAGCUUCAGUGUGUCUAUCUCCACAGCAUUAUCAACACCUCUUAACAGUGUAGGGGAGUCUCUUACAGUAGGUGUACCUUUAGUGCAAUUACAAGUUUGAUCCUAAUUUAUUAUUUAGAUCAAUUGAUUACAACCUAAUGCCAUUUUGCAAAGGCUACUGUCGUGUUCUGUCUUAGCAGUGAGCAAGGGACAAAUCUGAUGACAGAACGCUGUCAAUGAAAUGGAAAUUGGCUGGUGAGAGAAGGAAAGUAGAAAAGGUACUGUUUUCUAUUUGAAUUGUGUUAUUAAAUAGACUCCAGAGCAGCAAUAUGUGCAAGUAUGACCCACCAAUUUUAAACCAGUAGUCCAGCAUCCAUUUGGUCUUAGCUGCAAUGUUCCACAGCUAGCUAAUGAUUUCAGACCUCCUUGUACUUAGUCGGUUCCCAGCGUCCCAGUGUUGAAUUGUGAAUAUAGUGCAUGCGGAAGUUAGAGAAUGGAUCAUAAAAAUGUCGGGACAAACAAUUGUAGCCUGACUGGGAAUUGCCAGAAACACGUGACCAGUAAGUCAGGGUUUUUAAUUUAAAAAACUAUAACAAGUAUAAAAACAGUAACACACAUGUAUUAGUGGGAGGAGACUAAACUACACCGAGAGCAGCAGCUUCCCAGACUGUGAUAUCAUUACGCCAGGACAACAGUAAAUAAUGGCGAUUUUUUUCAGGUGGAAAAUAAGGAGCCAUAUAUAUAGAAUUUACUGAAAGUACUCAAGAAUUCAAGGAACAAAUGGCCCCAUGAGAAUGAAAGCAUUACCAUCUGGCAGCCCGCAGCGACUCUCAUUGCUGUUCAUGCAGGGUUCAUCUCUCAACCACAAAUCUCACGCAGAGCACCUAACAGUCUUAACGAUGCUUCUGUUAAUGAUCUUAUCUAACUUGUAAUUAUCUCAAUGCUCUUGAAGGAAGCAGCAGAGAGGAAAGUAGUGGAUGUAUUUAGUGCGUUCCUCUCAGACUUCCCUAUUUCAAUUGUUUGGGAGUUGAACAGGCUGCUAUGCGCAUUACCCAGUUCACGGGUUUCUUCCUAUCAGUUCUAGGAUAUGGUCAUGGGUUAUUGCAACACUGUGCUCCGAACCUACUGUAUUUAGCUUCCCUAUAAACGUCUGUCUAGUUACUUUGCUCAGUAAUUUUGCUUUUUGUACCAAAGUUACGCAUGGUUUGGGCAAUCUUUAACAUAGUGUCUGACUUCACUGCACUUCACAAUCCAUAGGACUGAAGGAAAAUUGCACAAGGUUUAUUUAAUCGUAUUUGCGUGGUUACACUCAUUUUAUAAUGAACUUUACUCGCCGAUCGUUCAGUGCCCUACUGAAGUAACACGUUUUAUUUAUUUUCUACAAAGAGGAAGUGCUCAUCGAUUCUCUCAGAAGUCUAAAGCUAGUGCAGUGCACCAACCGUGGCUCUAACUGCCAUCUGGUGGCUUAACCUGGAAUCUGCAACUGUUUGUAACGUCGCAGUUACCGUCCUACUGUGGAACUGUUUCCACAUUGCUGAGUGGCAAUUUGGCAGCCUUUUAAAAGCCUGCAAAGUUUUCUGAUGGCACCUGUUCUCUCUCCAGUCGAUACAGUGGGGUCGAUAACUUUAUUUUGAAACUCAAACUCCUUUUUUUUUUUUUUUUUUUGUUUGUUUGUUUUCUUAUACACAAACCGACCAGCUGAUUUUCA